rnacentral:rRNA from 1 species
GUGAGGAAUAUUGGUCAAUGGGCGCGAGCCUGAACCAGCCAAGUCGCGUGAAGGAAGAAGGAUCUAUGGUUCGUAAACUUCUUUUGCAGGGGAAUAAAGUGCGGGACGUGUCCUGUUUUGUAUGUACCCUGAGAAUAAGGAUCGGCUAACUCCGUGCCAGCAGCCGCGGUAAUACGGAGGAUCCGAGCGUUAUCCGGAUUUAUUGGGUUUAAAGGGUGCGUAGGUGGUUUGAUAAGUCAGCGGUGAAAGUUUGCAGCUUAACUGUAAAAAUGCCGUUGAAACUGUCGGACUUGAGUGUAAAUGAGGUAGGCGGAAUGCGUGGUGUAGCGGUGAAAUGCAUAGAUAUCACGCAGAACUCCGGUUGCGAAGGCAGCUUACUAAGCUACAACUGACACUGAAGCACGAAAGCGUGGGGAUCAAACAGGAUUAGAAACCCCGGUAGUCC